rnacentral:rRNA from 1 species
UGGGGAAUAUUGGACAAUGGGGGCAACCCUGAUCCAGCGACGCCGCGUGUGUGAAGAAGGCCUGCGGGUUGUAAAGCACUUUUAGUGGGGAUGAAAAGUGCAGAGAUAACACCUCUGCAUCUUGACCUAACCCACAGAAAAAGUACCGGCUAACUCUGUGCCAGCAGCCGCGGUAAUACGUAGGCAGCAAGCGUUGUUCGGAGUUACUGGGCGUAAAGAGUGCGUAGGUGGUGCCCUAAGUCUGUUGUGAAAUCUCCCGGCUUAACUGGGAGGGUGCGGUGGAAACUGGGGUGCUUGAGUGUGGGAGAGGUAAGCGGAAUUCCUGGUGUAGCGGUGAAAUGCGUAGAUAUCAGGAGGAACACCGGUGGUGUAGACGGCUUACUGGACCACGACUGGCACUGAGGCACGAAAGCGUGGGUAGCAAACAGGAUUAGAUACCC